CGGGAGCGAGAUACUAGUGGUGGCGUUAUCCGCGCCGCGGGGAUGGGAUUUGUUGAGGGCGGGCGCGGGUGACUCAGCCAUGGCGUGGAGGUGCGCCUGUGGAUGACAAGGACACCUCACGCUCUUGGUGCUAGAGAUGAUGAAUCCGUGUCAGCUUGGAAGAAAAAGGAAAUUGAAGCAACCUGUGCAUUGUUUGUUCUGCGAGGAUGGAGUCAGCUUAUCUUCAGAGAAGAAAUGUGUCGGUGCUUUACAUGUGGAGAGUAAUAAGGAGAGUGUUUUACAUGUGCUUUAAAUGUGUCGGUGCUUUAUUGUUUCACUAAGCAGUUUGUCUUUUACCGUCCAUCUAUACUUGUAGACGAUUCGGAGGGAUCCACAUAUUCAGCGGUAUAUUACUCCUGCUAUUUGCAUGUAUAAUAAGCGAUGUCGUGGACAUCACUAAUUUUGUGCUA